UCAACCCCCGUUGCAAAUCAGGUUUAUUAUCAAAAUUUACAGACUUUCGGCUGGAAAUGCAACUUAUACUGACUUUUAUUUGAUUUGCUCAUUGCAAACAGCUGAAAGUUUGUAAAUUUUUGAUAAUAAACCCGAUUUGCAAUGGGGAUUGA